rnacentral:rRNA from 1 species
UUCCGGUUGAUCCUGCCGGAGGUCACUGCUAUUGGGAUUCGACUAAGCCAUGCGAGUUGAGAGGGUUCGGCCCUCAGCAGACUGCUCAGUAACACGUGGAUAAUCUACCCUUAGGUGGAGGAUAAUCUCGGGAAACUGAGGAUAAUACUCCAUAGAUCUAGGAGGCUGGAAUGCAUCUAGGUUAAAAGCUCCGGCGCCUAAGGAUGAAUCUGCGGACUAUCAGGUUGUAGUCAGGGUAAUGACCUGACUAGCCUAUGACGGAUACGGGUUGUGAGAGCAAUAACCCGGAGACGAUAUCUGAGACACGAUAUCGGGCCCUACGGGGCGCAGCAGGCGCGAAAACUUCACAAUGUGCGAAAGCACGAUGAGGGAAUCCCAAGUGCCAGCUCGUAAGAGUUGGCUGUUUCUUUGUCUAAAAAACAUAGAGAGUAAGAGCUGGGUAAGACGGGUGCCAGCCGCCGCGGUAAUACCUGCAGCUCAAGUGGUGAUCGUUAUUAUUGGGCCUAAAACGUUCGUAGCCUGUUUAGUAAAUGCCUGGGUAAAUCGUGUAGCUUAACUAUACGAAUUCCGGGUAGACUGCUAAACUUGAGAUCGGGAGAGGCUAGAGGUACUCCUGGGGUAGAGGUGAAAUUCUGUAAUCCUAGGGGGACCAUCAGUGGCGAAGGCGUCUAGCUAGAACGUGUCUGACGGUGAGGAACGAAGCCCUGGGGCGCGAACCGGAUUAGAUACCCGGGUAGUCCAGGGUGUAAACGCUGCUCGCUUGAUGUUAGUUGGGCUCCGAGCCCACCUAGUGUCGGAGAGAAGUUGUUAAGCGAGCUGCCUGGGAAGUACGGUCGCAAGGCUGAAACUUAAAGGAAUUGGCGGGGGAGCACAGCAACGGGUGGAGCGUGCGGUUUAAUUGGAAUCAACG